GUCCCCGUAGCUCAGUGGUCGAGCUCCUGUAUGUGGUGAGCAAAAAUUACGAGGAGGUAGGAGGUUCGAAUCCUGCCCGGUGGCA
rnacentral:tRNA from 1 species